UACGGAGGGGACUAGCGUUGUUCGGAAUUACUGGGCGUAAAGCGCACGUAGGCGGAUCGAUCAGUCAGGGGUGAAAUCCCAGGGCUCAACCCUGGAACUGCCUUUGAUACUGUCGAUCUGGAGUAUGGAAGAGGUGAGUGGAAUUCCGAGUGUAGAGGUGAAAUUCGUAGAUAUUCGGAGGAACACCAGUGGCGAAGGCGGCUCACUGGUCCAUUACUGACGCUGAGGUGCGAAAGCGUGGGGAGCAAACAGG
rnacentral:rRNA from 1 species